GGUACUAUAGUGUAGCGGUUAUCACUUGGGAUUCUGAUGAAGGUUCCCAAAACCCAGGUUCGAUUCCUGGUAGUACCU